CACAAUGACUCUCGGCAAUGGAUAUCUCGGCUCUUGCAUCGAUGAAGAACGUAGUGAAAUGCGAUACUUGGUGUGAAUUGCAGAAUCUCGUGAACCAUUGAGUCUUUGAACGCAAGUUGUGCCCGAGGCCUUGUGGUCGAGGGCACGCCUGCUUGGGCGUCAUG
rnacentral:rRNA from 1 species